UUACCGAGUGGCGGACGGGUGAGUAACGCGUGGGUAACCUGCCUCAUACAGGGGGAUAACGAUUGGAAACGAUUGCUAAUACCGCAUAAGCGCACAGUACCACAUGGUGCAGUGUGAAAAACUCCGGUGGUAUGAGAUGGACCCGCGUCUGAUUAGCUAGUUGGUGAGGUAACGGCCCACCAAGGCAACGAUCAGUAGCCGACCUGAGAGGGUGACCGGCCACAUUGGGACUGAGACACGGCCCAGACUCC
rnacentral:rRNA from 1 species